AGAUAUUCUACAGGGUCGACCUUAGACCACAUGAAGCUAUUAUGUAUGCCUAAGCUAUAUCCAGUUCAUGUGUUCUCAGGUCGCCCCUGCUGAAUUUUC
rnacentral:pre_miRNA from 1 species